UGGCCCCUUUCGUCAGCAAUGGCGAUCGAAAACCUCUUUAAUUCAUGGGAACUCCUACAAGGACAAUCAUGAGCGAAGCUAGACUAAAGUCUUGAACGUGCAACGACUAGCCGAAAGGCGUAGGCUGCAAGCUAUUGGCAGUCGAAACAGGAGGCAUCCUGAAAGGAUGAAGAUAUAGUCUAACCUUCAUGGCAACAUGAAG
rnacentral:ncRNA from 1 species